GACGUAGGGGGCGAGCGUUGUCCGGAUUUAUUGGGCGUAAAGCGCGCGCAGGCGGUUCGGAUAGUCGGGUGUGAAAAUCCGGGGCUCAACCCCGGACCUGCAUCCGAUACUUCCGGACUGGAGGCAGGUAGGGGAGAGCGGAAUUCCCGGUGUAGCGGUGAAAUGCGCAGAUAUCGGGAAGAACACCGGUGGCGAAGGCGGCUUCCUGGACCGACACUGACGCUGAGGCGCGAAAGCUAGGGGAGCAAACGGG
rnacentral:rRNA from 1 species